AGACGCGGCGAGGGGGCGGGGCCCUGCCUGGUCCGCCCCGCCCCGGCCCGCUGGGGGCACCCACCGCCCCCAGCCCGGCCCGGGCCCCCGCCCGCGCUGUCGGAAAGGAGGCCGGGCGCAGACGUCGCCCGGCGGUGGAGAGCAAGUUAGGGUGGGGGAUGCGCCCUGGAGCCCGGCGACGCAGCGGUGGGGCGCCGCGGGGCAGCAGGUUCACGCGGCCCGGUGGGGGGAGCCAGGUGGCAGCGAGAAGGGCUAGUGGGACCAGGAGUUUCUUCCACGAGGAACGGGAAGGUUUGUGGGUCCUGUAAGUCUCUAGACGCCCCUGCCCCCAACCCCUAUCCGAUACAGUAGCCACUGUCCGCAAGUUGCUGUCGAGCCCUGAAACCAACUUGCGAGUCCAAAUAGAGAGGCGCUGAAGAGUACCCCGGAUUCUGAAGACUCGCUACAAAAAGAAGAUAUAAAAUAGCUCACUCGUGAUGUUCACUGGUCCAGAGGUCCUGCAGAGGAAGUGACAACCGGCCGGGCUAUCCCAGCAGCGCCCAGGAAGGAAACAGAAGUUUGCUACUGAAAAGGUUUGGAAACUGCAGGACUAAGUGAUCACCAAGGUUUGGCAUCCUUUCACAUGCAUAUGCUUGUAUACAAUCUGUGUGUGUGUGUGUGUGUGUGUGUGUGUGUGUGUGUGUGUGUGUGUGUGUUGUGGGAAGGAGCACUGAGAGAUUCUCCUAAGGCUUUGUCUUAGGGACCCAGCUCCACUUCAAGUCUCUCCACAUCUCAAGAACUUAAAAUCCUUUGGGUCUUAGCCUGCGGUCUGCCUCACCGGGAGCAUUUCCCAGUGACCUGUGACCAAACGCUGCCUCAGCACCCAGGGAGCUCUGUGGACGGGGGGGUGCUGGCCUCCCACCACUGUAUCCCCAAGUACUGGAACAGGGUAAGCUCUCUAAACAUUGGCUGACCACCUAAAAUUGGGUAACUAUUCCUCUUUCCCCCCCACCCCCACCUCCUCAUCUGCCCUCCCUGCUGUCCCUUGGGGAAGGGGCAGUCCUUAUAUUGGGGAAUUCCUGGGUUAGCAGUCGAGAAACUUGCAUGUAGCUUCAGGCUUCAAAUGAACAGCCUCUUCUAGAACGUUCUCUUUCGCUGAAAGGGUUGAAAUGAUCUUCACUGGCACCCACACACGAUGUCCUCCUUCUGAUCUUCUGGUCAGAUCUGCACCCUCUCCAGCCACAUUCACACUCCAGGUCCCUGUCUGCACUCCCUGGGAGGCCUUAGCCAAGUCACCCAAAACCAGGGGACCCCCUCGUCUGUCAGCCUCCACUGAACCCAGGGUCCACUAGAUCUCACCCAUCGUUUUUCCACUGCUUGGUUUUCCCUGCCUGCUCUUCGGUAGUCCCCUCACCCCUACUUCUAACAGCUGACCUCCUCUGUGGUUUGGCCUCCCCGCAGACUAGGAGCAUCGGGCCAUGAAGGGGGCAAUCACGUCCCGUGUUGAUGAGCUGGAUUACCAAGCUGAGUGCUCGGGACCUCAGCACAGGACAAGCCGGCUUUGCCCCUGACUUUCUGCCCUUCCUCUGCAUCUCCGUGCUCACCCAGCCCCUGAAGAGGAGGCAGCAGCUGGGACCCUGCAAGGCUAGCCCUGCUUCCGGGGCCCGGGGUUGAGGGAAGGGCAGCGGGUCUCUGCUGUUUCC